GGGUGCGAUCAUACCAACACUAAUGCAUCGGAUCCCAAUAGAACUCCGCAAUUAAGCAUGUUCGGACAAGAGUAGUAGUAGGAUGCCUGACCUCCUACGAAGUCCUCGUGUUGCACCCC
rnacentral:rRNA from 1 species